GAAACAAGAUGUGCUGGACGACAAACCAGUGGGCGAAACCCAAAAAAAAGAAGGAAGAAAAACCGGACCCAAACAGGAACAUGGAAAGAGUUCCUGAAGAUGUGAACAAGUGCUGUUCAUUUCACUUCGAAAGGAGAAAGAGAGUGAAAGUGUCCUGUAAAUGACAUUUGAGAAACAAUGCAGGAGUUAUUAAUUUUAUCAUGUGUCUAUAGGAAAUAUGGAGUUUGAACACAUUUGGCCAAGGAAAUUAGCACCAAGUUUCACUAUUUUAUGCAUUAUUGAUUUAUUAUUGACUGCAUCUGUGGAGAAGAGUAGUUGUUAGAAAUUUUAACCAUUCUGGAGAACUGGGCAAUUCAUGAUUUUCUUCCAUGAAAUGGGAUAGUAUGUGACACAGAAUGAAUGAGAGAAUGUUUGUGGUUUUUGUGUACAAUCUUAGACUAUAUGUUCUCUGUAUCUGUGCAAGUAAUUCUUGUACAGAAAGGCCAUGAAAAGCUUAUGCAAGUACUUGAACUCUUGCUUGUUCAGAGGCUGAUAGUUUUCUAUAUAUUUUACAAAUUUCAAGAAGGAUUAAGUGUAUAUAGAAUAACGGUAUGGUAGGCAGAAAAUAAUACAGAGGUUUGAGAUAUAAUGAUUUCGACAGUGUUUUUAAGUGGAGUUUUAAAGGCUAGCGAGAUAUCUUUAAGUUUACAAAGAAGUCUUAACAUGUUUAUAUUUGGAAUGUUUAUAUUUCAAAAAGAAAUUAGUUUUGUUUUGUUUACAUAUCACAAUUUUAGUCUCAGAGUGCAUUGUGAUGGAUGGAUAGGUUACUGUUGAUAUAGUUAUUAUUAUUAUUAUAAAACUUUUCUUAAUUUUUCUUUUUAAUUAAUAGUAUUUAUCAAGUGGUCUUGAUUAUGUAAUGAUAAUUAUUUAGGUUCUGUAUUUAUAGACAAGGAAAUUUGUAAACUUUGUUUUUGAGAGGGAGCGUUUUAUCCUGUAAAAUCUGCCAAUGAGCAUGAAAUUACAGUGGUUGUUUAAUUUGUAAGGAAAACAAAUAAAAGUUUUAUGUUAA